GCUUCGGUCGCCUCAGUGAUUGGAGCGUCCGCCUAGGAUGCGGGAGGUUGUGGGUUCGAUCUCCUUUCGGGUCA